CCUACGGGAGGCAGUAGUGGGGAAUAUUGCACAAUGGGGGAAACCCUGAUGCAGCAACGCCGCGUGAGUGAAGAAGUAUUUCGGUAUGUAAAGCUCUAUUAGCAGGGAAGUAGAUGACGGUACCUGACCAAGAAGCCCCGGCUAACUACGUGCCAGCAGCCGCGGUAAGACGUAGGGGGCAAGGGUUAUCCGGAUUUACUGGGUGUAAAGGGAGCGCAGACGGCAGGGCAAGUCAGUAGUGAAAGCCCGGGGCUCAACCCCGGAACUGCUCUGGAAACUGUUCGGCUAGAGUGGUGGAGGGGCAGGCGGAAUGCAUGGUGUAGCGGUGAAAUGCGUAGAGAUUAGGAGGAACACCAGUGGCGAAGGCGGCCUGCUGGACAGUAACUGACGUUGAGGCUCGAAAGCGUGGGGAGCAAACAGGAUUAGAUACCCUGGUAGUC
rnacentral:rRNA from 1 species